rnacentral:rRNA from 1 species
AUUGAACGCUGGCGGCAGGCCUAACACAUGCAAGUCGGGCGGCAGCGGGGGAAAGCGUGCUUUCCUGCCGGCGAGCGGCGGACGGGUGAGUAAUGUCUGGGGAUCUGCCCGAUGGAGGGGGAUAACCACUGGAAACGGUGGCUAAUACCGCAUGAACUCUGAGGAGCAAGGUGGGGGACCUUCGGGCCUCACGCCAUCGGAUGAACCCAGAUGGGAUUAGCUAGUAGGUGGGGUAACGGCUCACCUAGGCGACGAUCCCUAGCUGGUCUGAGAGGAUGACCAGCCACACUGGGACUGAGACACGGCCCAGACUCCUACGGGAGGCAGCAGUGGGGAAUAUUGCACAAUGGGCGCAAGCCUGAUGCAGCCAUGCCGCGUGUAUGAAGAAGGCCUUCGGGUUGUAAAGUACUUUCAGCGGGGAGGAAGGCGUGAAACCGAAUACGU